UAUGGAAGGACAUCCAUCGUCCACCUGUUUGAGUGGCGUUGGGCUGACAUUGCUCAAGAGUUACCAGUAGUAGUAGUACUAGUACUUGGUAGUAGCUAGUACCAACGUUUCUUGGGUCCCAAAGUUCUUUGGUGGUGUUCAGAUCUCUCCUCCAAAUGAACACAUUCUGGUGAACAGUCCCUGGAGGCCCCCCGGUGGCAGAGAUACCAGCCAAUCAGCUACAAACUCUGCUCAAGAUCUGGCAGUGAGGCAGAACUGAAAGACAUGAUCACCCGCUGCAACAACGUUGGGGUUAACAUCUAUGUGGAG